GGAGUAUUACUCAAGAGGUUAAGAGGGUUGUUUGCUAAACAACUAGGGCAUUACUGCUGCGUAGGUUCGAUUCCUACAUGCUCCGCCA
rnacentral:tRNA from 3 species